UCCCUCUCUUGUGCCUUGUCUAAAAUUGUACUCGCGGUUUGGCAUUUUCCCUGAUUGCUUUCACCUGUGCCUCAUUUGUGUGUCUGUGUGUUUUGUCAUGAUGUCUGUCUGACCUCACAGUGUGUCCUUUUUGCCUGUGGAAUCUUGGACUUUAUUUUGGCUGAUUCUUUCUUUUUGUUUCUCAGUCUGCAUUUGGGUUGUAAUUCUGCAAUGCCUGACACUUCAAGAAUGAAAAUGCAAUGCAGAUGUAAUGUAAUGUAGUAUAAGGAGGUAAAAAUAAGGAAUAAAACUGGGUUCUCUUUCAAAUGUACAGCAGGGAUGCCAAAAGAGUCAGACUCUAAGAUAGUUGAUAAAGAGCCCGUUUAUUUCCAGUCAGAGAAUGUCUAACCCCUUAAACCCACCAAAAUGUUAAUUCUACCAAAAUACUGAUUUAAAAGUGAAAACGCAGCAGAGGCUCACAGGUCUGCACUCUGCUGUGUAAUCUGGCUUUACAGGAGAAUUACACCUGUUCACAGCCUGAUACAACUAAAGCAGCAUGGUGCGAGAGGAGGAGAGGUCCUUCAAACACACCCGGCACACACCCACAAAAUCAGGAAUGUGGGGAAUGCUGGGAAACAAAGUGGUGGCGUUGGCGCACAGAGAGCAGCCGGAUGAAUGGAAACCUGAAGGAUAAAAUGCGACUGCGUCACUGGUCUGCGGCUCUGGGAGCAAAGCUGCCAAACAGACGUCCCAGUAUUCCCAGCAUCUGCUCCGGCACAACAUCAGCGAGCUGCUGAGGGAUAACCAAACUGUUUUCUUUAAAUGACAGUUUGAGGUCCAGACUGUUUUCCUUCAUGCGAGCAUGACAGUUUGACAGAUGUUACGUAACUGACAGCUGCUGGGAUUCACGCAGGCUGCAGAAGUCUGUGUCGAGAUUUUGAUUUUGUCCAUAUUGGAGGGAAAAAAAAAAAGCCAAAUCGCUGAAUAAACUCACCCAAAUUCUCUAAGACAGAUGUUGAAAAUUUUUUGCUGAACUUUAAAGUUUGCUGAUGAGAGUAAAACUGUUUUUCAGUUUUAAAGUCUUCACAGCAUCCAGGUCCGUGAGUAUCUAGUUGAACAAAACUGUUAGCUUAGCAUGGUCUGCUGUUUUCAGAGGCUCAGGAGUAAUCAGACAAUUCACUAAAGAGUCAUGGCCAGGUGAGGCCUGCUAACCCCUAACCCUUGUUAUGCGAAAUUAAGCAGGUAAGCAAAGCUGCAAAAACUGCAACUCUGUCUGAAGACACGAGACGCGAUUGAGUGGCGGCUCUGUCUGCGCUGCAGCUGAGAAUAAAGUCAGCCAACGUGAGUCUGAAAGGAUGAAACAGGUUCUAAUGAAAAUGUUCAGACUGUUUGUGGCAUCAACAUGAAAGCUGCGGACAAAUGUCAUACACGAAUCGCCAUCUGUGGAAGCUUCUUCUCCCCCGUUCAGCUGUCACUGCCGACAUUAAUCUGCCUUUGUUCUGUUAAUUCAUAACAAAUGAGCGGCAAAGCGCUCGGAGAGGCCUGGGAGGAGAAACACGGCGUCUGCAUGAAGAGGAACGAUUCAGUGCGUAUGUACGUUACAGACCCUUCAUUUGUCCAACUAUGGUUGGCGUUACAUCCUGUAAUGGCACGACUUAUAUUAACAUUAGAUUCAGCAGCCAUGACAGAAAUAAGUUCUCCAAACACAUGCCGACACUUCUCUGGAAUGUCUUUCAUUCGCUGCGUGUUUUUAUUCUGUUUUAAUUUAUUGUUAGUUUGAAGGAUGAUGUCUACAAGAAAAGGAGGAAAAUAUUGUUCAAUGUUUGUUUUCAGUUUGCUUAAAUAUUCAUUAAAGCUUCUUUCAUG